UUGGCCAGAUGGAGAACUUCCAGCAAUAGGUUCUUGAUUUCUGCAUCGUGACUUUGAUUCCCCGUGUACAGCUGGAAACCUGGGCGCUCAAAGAAGGGCAGCACUUUGGACAGAGCCCGCAGCUCAAUCAGGUAGAGAAAAUAGAGGUUCUUCAGUCUUCUGGGGCCUUCCCCUCUGGUGACAACCUCAUCAAACCUCUGCUGGAACUCUGUAACGUUGGGGCCCCAUUUCUUCUCUGACCAAGUAUCUUGUAAGAGGUACCUGGCGCUCAGGUGAAUGUUGAUGCUUGCAUGGAGACCAGAAAUGAGCCUGUAGAAAGCUCGUUUCUCUACGCAGACACCUUUCAACCACUUGUAAAACAUCUGCCCU
rnacentral:lncRNA from 1 species